GGCAUUCUGAAUCCUGGGUAGCAAAGGCUACACUGGAAUGGAGCUAACUCCUGUGGACUGCCUCUAAAACACUGGAUUAUUCCUUUUACUGGAUUGGAUUAUCCCAUAAUGGAGCAGAUGGGCCCUGGCUAUGGGAGGACAGGGCAGCUCUCUCCACUGAUGUAAUGCACCAGAAAUGAGUGAGCAGGCAGUGACCUAUGCAGACCUGAAAUUUCAAACUCCUUCCAAGCAGCAGAGGAAAAAGACACCUAAGAACACCAGGAACAAAGAAGGAAACGAGGAGGUGGUGACCUAUACAGGACUGAAAUGCAACAAUGCUUCUGAGCAGGAGAGGAGAGAAAGGACUAUGAACUCCCA